UCCCUUCAGUUGAGAUCAGGGAUAAAGUUGGGAAUUUAAGAGGGUCCAGUGUCUCAUUGUUUUCAUGAUUCAUCUACCACCACAAUACUAAUUUGAUGUGAUCUUUAGUCUUUCUUCAUGAACUGGAAGUGGGUAUUUGGAAUUAUAGUUUUCUUUUUUUCCGACAGAGAUUUGAAUUUUAGAUGUGUUGCUCUUUCCAUGUGAAUCUGAUUUUCUUCUAAGAUCUUUCUUACUGUAGAUGGGGUGUUAAGAAGCCUCAAAUCAUGGAAAAUUCUGUCACGAUCUUGUCGAGUGUAGGUCUUGGGGUGGCCAUGUUCAGUCUCGGUAAGAUUAUUGAUAUGCUCAUUCGACUCGAGGGGUGUCAUCAAGAAAUAUGACAGUCCUGAACAAAUUCUUGAAGAAUUCUUUCAUUUAAGACUUGAGUUUUAUGUAAAGAGAAAGAAAGUAAUGUUGGAUAAUCUUGAGAAGGAAGAAGCCCAGGUGGAGGAGGUGAUAGGACAGAUGGAGGGCAGGGUAGGCAAGCCUCUUGCUAAGGCUUCUAGACAAGUUGGAAAGAACCAAAGAAAGAACAACACUAAGAAA